rnacentral:lncRNA from 1 species
UCAAAGAGGAAACCCCAUGUUAGGAUGUUUUUGGUUUUUUUUUUUUUUUUUUUUUGAUUGGACAGAUUAAUUAGGGUAGCCACAAGGGAGCUUUUGAUUGCUGGACUUCAGUACUUUGAUAGCCAGACCUUGGUAGUUAGCUUCAGGAGGAGGAAGUAGCCAAAUAAGGGACUAGAACUUGGUUACUAGCAGUAGGAAUGCAGUCUAACGGUGUUAUUAAGGAAGAGGGAAGGCCAGCCAGAGCCAUGUUUGUCAUGCUCUGGCCUACUAGAGCUCUUCAGGUCUGGCAUCCUGUCUCUCUUAUGUCUGUGAGCCUUAGUUUCCUGUUUUGUAGUUACUUAGGUCUGUUUCAACUCUGACAGCAUCUUAGACUACAAAUGAUUGGUUUAGGUAAAUACAAGAGAAAAUAGUUGAGAAUCUCUCUGUAGGCCUUGUCUAGCUUAUGGUGAUGAUGGGGUGAGAUGAAAGUCUGUUACUGUCUCUGGAGUUCAGGUCAUCAUUUAAUGGUAUUUGUUUAGUGCAGGAAAAUUCUGGCUAGGAGCUGCCCCGUCCUCAUCAGCACCCACACCUGUGUUCCCGUUCUUUCCCCCCCUCUCAUAUUUAGAUGAUUAAGAGCUUAUGUUAAACCACAUAACCCAAAAGGGGGAGAGUUAAAAACUUAAUAAUCAGAUAUGCAAAUAAAAACUGGGAAAGAAAACAAGUGAAAGUAGCUUUGCUGUGUUUUUAAAGUACGCUCUUACUGUGUUCACUCAGAAAAAAAAGUGAAGUAAUAGAGAAAAUAAAAGGAAGCUGAAAAAAUACUGGUAGGGAGGAAUGUAUAGCUUUGGGGGCCUCUAUUAUAUCUGUCCUUAGUUUGUUACUCAUUAGCUCUAAUUAGGUUUAAAGGUUUCCUUUCCUUUGUCUUUAAAGGUUUCCGCAUUACUGUCUUGCUUUCUUUUCCCAACAUUGCCUGCAUUCUUUAUAACUUCAUGUUAAUUGCUUAGUUAUGCUAAUGGUGUUAAAUAUAAGAAGAAUUAAACCUAAUAUAGGGUAUAAUAAUGCCCUGUAUAUCGAUGAUGUACUCCAAUAUCCCCUUGUCCUGUUCCUCCCCACCCUGUUGUGUGACAGAAUUUUUCCUUGGAAAACACAUCUACCCACCCCAGAUAGGAAGCAACAGACCAAAGUACAGAUGCUACAAAACCACUUUGGUGAACCAAUGAGUUUUAUUGGGGUUAUUUACAAGAAUCUGAGUGAAGGGUUACAGAACCCUUACUUACAGAAGCAGAAAUGAUUCAAAGACAGCUGUAUCACCAAAGCCACCCAGCAUGGGUGGCAGCUCACAAAGCUGGGGACCUGGAGCACACUGCACAGCCUGCAGGUAGCUCCACGGGUUGAAGAGUGUCCUUUCCAUGUGGUUCAGUUGCUCUAACCCUCUUCUAGGCAGCUGGUCUGGUCUCAGAAUCUUUGUCCCUUACCUUAUCUGAGAGUCUUCUUUUGUAGCUUGGCUGAAUCUUUUUUGCAGCUCAGCUUUCAAUAUCUGAGCGGGACUCUAAGGUUUUAUUGCUUACUUUGGCAGGAAGGGUUUUAGUGAAUCUGAUUGGUUUCAGGAACUUGUAGAAGCUAUUCUGUGUUGUUUCCUUCCUGUUUAAGGAACUUCCCUACAGAAUAGAAUGUUUCACUCUUUGAGGAAACUAUUAAACAACACCCCGCACACUGUUUCCUUCAUUCCACAGCUUUCUAAAUUAUAUGUAUUUUAUUCAUUUAUUAGUUAAUAUCUGCUCUAUCAUUCCAUACCCCAAACAAACACCCAAAUAUGACCCUGCACUAGCAAAGAACUCUUCUACUUUUACCAGAGAAAGUCAAGCUCCAGAGUGUGGAAGAAGAGCCCAGAGAAGAUUGGGCCAGUCUCCUGCUCACUGCAAACUUACUGCUUAUUGCAAGCCUGCCAUCUUUCACAGGUUUAGUAAUUUACUAGAUAGACAAACAAAGGUCAGUGCAGAGAGUAGGCUCUUGUUUGCUGUUUAUUUCAAAGAAAGAAUAAAAGCUAUCAUAAGCCAAGAAAAGAGAGUCAGAGUGCUGAGUCUGGAGGGAACCACACCAAAGCUUCUAGUUGUGUCUGCAGUGUCCCCGGCAGUACUGCUUUCCUGUGGUCAAAUACAUCACUGCCAAGUCUUGCCAGCUUCGGAAACCUGAACCCAGAUUUUCUGUUGGGAUUCAAUUACAUACAGCGGUGUGGCUGACCUUACACUUAACAUCCUUCCUGGUAGUCAGGAUAAUACCUUUAGUUUCCAUUUCCUAGAUAGGUCAGAAGUAACAUGGAUAUUAGUUCUCAUAUGACAUGGCCUGCAACCCACUUUUACAGACCACACUCUUUAGAGCCUAGAGGAAACACACCUUUAAAACCAGCACUCAAGAGGUAGGGACAUGCAGAUCUCUGAGUUUGAGGUCAGCCUGGUCUACAGUGUAAGUUCCAGUUAUAGCCAGGGCUACACAGACAAACCCUGUUUUGAAAAAAAACAAAACAAAAAUAAGGGCCUUCUGAAGGCAUGGAGAUGACAGACACAGAAGUACCAUGAAUAUACCUAGCAUAUAACAACCAGGUUGUGGUAGGGAUAUCUUUAAAUAAGAAACUAAUCUGUCUUCUAAAACCAUUGCAGUCCCAGGUCCAUGGAGAGGACCCAUUAGUAAAGACUCCUGUUACCACUGUGCCUGACAACCUGAGCUCAGUUCCCAUGAUUCAUAAGAUGUGACUCCUGUACUUUGUCCUCUGACCUUCAUGUGUUACUACACUUUACCUGCACACGCACACACAUACACACAAAUGAAUGAAAAACCAUUAUAUAAUGUUUUCAUAGUUUUUGAUGCUGUAACUCAUUUAACCCUUUAUGAGACUUGAUAAUUAAAAGAUAAUUGUGCAUACUCUGUAGUAUAAAAAUAAUGUGGCUACUAGUAAACCCAUUUCUUCCUUAGGCAGCCUUUUGGCAUAAUUGUUACACCUUAAGGACUCUUUAACUCACCUCUAGUCGCAUUGGUUAUCAAAAUCUAUGUUAUAAUUAGAUUUUGUAGUAUCUUGUAUUAAACUAUGGUUAUGCUAGAUUUAAGGUAGUUGCUCUCCUUUUUGGGUGGUAGUACUACGGGUUGAACCUAGAGCCUUAUGUAGUCUUCCUUGGCGAUAAUCUCUGCUUUACUUUUCAUUCUUAAAUUGUUAUGUGGGCUUGACCUUAUUUGUUAACAUUAAGUAGUGUCUGUGAGAGGAGACCUCUGUCUUACUCUGACUUCAGAUGCUUUUCAAACACCAGCUGUGAUCUUUACCAGUUAAGUUAGCCACGAGAGAUUUGAAACAAAUGAAAAUGUUAUUGUAGAUAACAAUAAAGUGUGAAGUGCCGAGUGAGGUCAAGCCUUCUGGGGCAGCCAAGUCCCAUGGCAGUACUGAGGGGAAGGUAUCCACGGGAAGGUUGACUAGGCCUUAGCCAUCUCAUGUGCAGACUGAGAUUUUUUUUUUUUUUUUUUUAAUAGGAUGUUCAAGUAGGCUUCAUUUUAGGGAUUUAGGUAUGGAUCAUUAUAGGAACAUCCACCAACUCAAUCC